AAUUGGAGGGCAAGUCUGGUGCCAGCAGCCGCGGUAAUUCCAGCUCCAAUAGCGUAUAUUAAAGUUGUUGCAGUUAAAAAGCUCGUAGUUGAAUUUCGGGAUUGACGUGACGGUCGUGCCUUAAGGGGUAUGAACUAUCACUGUCAAUUUCUCACCUUCUGGAAAAAUAUGAUGUCCUUAAUUGGGUGUCUUAUGGAUCCAGGACUUUUACCUUGAAAAAAUUAGAGUGUUUAAAGCAAGCUUAUUGCUCGAAUACAUUAGCAUGGAAUAAUAAAAUAGGACGGCUUGGUUCUAUUUUGUUGGUUUCUAGGAUCACCGUAAUGAUUAAUAGGGAUAGUUGGGGGCAUUAGUAUUCAAUUGUCAGAGGUGAAAUUCUUGGAUUUAUUGAAGACUAACUACUGCGAAAGCAUUUGCCAAGGAUGUUUUCAUUAAUCAAGAACGAAAGUUAGGGGAUCGAAGACGAUCAGAUACCGUCGUAGUCUUAACCAUAAACUAUGCCGACUAGGAUUCAGACGAUGUUAAUUUUUUAAUGACUCGUUUGGCACCUUACGGGAAACCAAAGUGU
rnacentral:rRNA from 1 species